UACGUAGGGGGCGAGCGUUGUCCGGAUUUAUUGGGCGUAAAGAGCGUGUAGGCGGUUCGGUAAGUCUGUCGUGAAAUCCUGAGGCUCAACCUUGGACGUGCGAUGGAUACUGCCGGGCUAGAGGAUGGUAGAGGCGAGUGGAAUUCUCGGUGUAGCGGUGAAAUGCGCAGAUAUCGGGAGGAACACCAGUAGCGAAGGCGGCUCGCUGGGCCAUUCCUGACGCUGAGACGCGAAAGCUAGGGGAGCGAACAGG
rnacentral:rRNA from 1 species